UACCAAAUAGACAACGUUACUAAAGUUUUAAGUUUGAACGCAUCUUCUUUGCAGUUCAUUUUCUUCACGAUCGAGAUCGAAUUUCUUUCUCGUUCUCUUCUGAAUCAAGUUUAUCUAUCCAAAUUAAUUUCUUUCUCGUUCUCUUCUGAAUCAAGUUUAUCUAUCCAAAUCAUUAACCUCAAUCGGUUCAUAUUCUUAUUCUCGAUCAAGGUUUUGCGAUUUCAGCGUGAUUUGAAUCAUUCUCGAAAUUUUGAUUCGCUUCUCGAUUUCGAUCUCAAUUUUGGAAGAAAGUGGUGAGGAAGAAAGGAUUAAGGAUUGAUCUUCAAAUUUGGGAUAGUUUGUUUGAGGUGAACUACGAGUAGAACAUGUUUGUGAAUUUGUCUCAGUGAAUAUAGGCUGAAACUCUCCUUCAAUAUUUGAGAGAAUCAAGACAAGAAGCAUCGUCUUCAAGUUCUUAAAGUGGAGUUAUUACUACUACUACUACUACUUAGGAAGUUGGUACUCUAGGUUCAUAUGCACCAACAGCAGCUUCAUGGCCGAAAAAGAAGAUCCAAAAAGAAUUUAAUUUUUUGAGGUUUAAGCAAUCAAGUUUAGUAUUUCAUUGUGAACGCAUUGAGGGAGGGCAUACAUGCCAAGAAUGUUUUCCAGGCCUCACACGGUUAUUGGCACCGCAUUGAGCAUAGUUUUUGUGUCUAUCCUAGCAGUGCAGACUAAUAGAUAAGGAAGAUCUGUUUAAAUUACUUGGUGAGAAACAUCAGCUCUAUGAAUUUCUGGAUACAUUCUACAUGCAAUGCUCAUAUAUUCUUUUCAACAAGGAGCAUGUCAAAGCUAUUCUUUCAGAAAUUGUUAAACAUAAAGCGGCAGAGAAUGAACAACGGAUACAGUCUUACAUGAAUAUGUUGGUGGUUGUAGAGAGUCCUGUUGAUUCUGCAUUGUUCCCGGAUAGGGCACCAUUAUCAGUACUUCAAAAAUGUGAGGAAUUUUCUAGUUGCUGUCCAGUUAUAUAAGAGAAUGAUAUGGCUGCAAAAUUAGUAUGUUAAUUGGUGUUAUCUUGUGAUGUUAGAUGACAAACAUGGAGCACUUGAAUUCCUCAAGUUAAUAUUAGCAUGAAUUUUAUUAUUUUAUUGUAAAUACUUGUAUGCAGUCGAACUGAUCUUUACUAUAGAGAAAGUUUGUGCAAUGUAAGCAUAUCGAAGAAAUAGGAAAAUUGACUUAUUGAAUCAAUUUAGUGUUUAAAUAUUUUGGAUUUAAUUUA